rnacentral:rRNA from 1 species
UACAGAGGGGGGCAAGCGUUGUUCGGAAUUACUGGGCGUAAAGGGCGCGUAGGCGGCCUUCUAAGUCGAACGUGAAAUCCCCGGGCUCAACCCGGGAACUGCGUCCGAUACUGGAAGGCUUGAAUCCGGGAGAGGGAUGCGGAAUUCCAGGUGUAGCGGUGAAAUGCGUAGAUAUCUGGAGGAACACCGGUGGCGAAGGCGGCAUCCUGGACCGAUAUUGACGCUGAGGAGCGAAAGCCAGGGGAGCAAACGGG